AAAUGGGUGGUUCAGUGGUAGAAUUCUUGCCUUCGAUGCGGGAGACCUGGGUUCGAUUCCCUGCUGAUGCA
rnacentral:tRNA from 1 species